rnacentral:rRNA from 1 species
UAGGGAAUAUUGGGCAAUGGAGGCAACUCUGACCCAGCCAUGCCGCGUGAAGGAUGAAUGCCCUCUGGGUUGUAAACUUCUUUUGUACGGGAAUAAACUUUCGGACGUGUCCGGAACUGAAGGUACCGUAAGAAUAAGGAUCGGCUAACUCCGUGCCAGCAGCCGCGGUAAUACGGAGGAUCCAAGCGUUAUCCGGAUUUACUGGGUUUAAAGGGUGCGUAGGCGGAUUGAUAAGUCAGUGGUGAAAUCCUGCAGCUUAACUGCAGAAUUGCCGUUGAUACUGUUAGUCUGGAGUAUGGUUGAGGUAGCUGGAACGUGUCGUGUAGCGGUGAAAUGCUUAGAGAUGACACAGAACACCAACGGCGAAGGCAGGUUACCAACCCAUUACUGACGCUGAGGCACGAAAGCGUGGGGAGCAAACAGG